rnacentral:rRNA from 1 species
UACCUGGUUGAUCCUGCCAGUAGUCAUAUGCUUGUCUCAAAGAUUAAGCCAUGCAUGUCUCAGCAUAAGUAUUUACACAGCGAAGCUGCGAAUGGCUCAUUAAAACAGUUUUAGUUUAUUCGAUGGUCAAAGGUUAUUUGGAUAACUGCGGAAAUUCUGGAGCUAAUACAUGCUUAAAGACGCGACUUUUUGGGAGCGUUGUAUUUAUUAGGUACAAAACCAGUCCCUUCUGGGUUUUUUGACGAGUCAUAAUAAACGUACGUAGCGCAUAACUUGUGUUGGCGCAAAAUCGUUCAAGAUUCUGACCUAUCAGCUUUGGAUGGUAGGGUAUUGGCCUACCAUUGCAGUGACGGGUAACGGAGAAUUAGGGUUCGAUUCCGGAGAGGGAGCCCGAGAAACGGCUACCACAUCUAAGGAAGGCAGCAGGCGCGCAAAUUACCCAAUCCUGAUACAGGGAGGUAGUGACAAGAAAUAACAAAGUAAGCCAUAUUUGUGGUUGUACUAUUGGAAUGAGUAGAAUUUAAAAUGCUUUACGACUAACAAUUGGAGGGCAAGUCUGGUGCCAGCAGCCGCGGUAAAUUCCAGCUCCAGUAGCGUAUAUUAAAGUUGUUGCGGUUAAAAAGCUCGUAGUUGGAUUUCUGCGCGGGACGGGUGGGUCCCCUUCUUAAGGGUGAAUCUUCUUCGGCCUGUGCAUCUACCUGAAAAACGGAUUUGUGCUUGAUUGCAUGAUUCGUGUUUUAGGUCAUUUACUUUGAGGAAAUUAGAGUGUUUAUAGCAUGCAAUUGCAUUGAAUAUAUUAGCAUGGGAUAAUAAUAUAAGACUGAGUUUUUAUUUUGUUGGUUUCUAAGAAUUCAGUAAUGAUAAAUAGGGGUUGUCGGGGGUACUAGUAUUAACGCGUCAGAGGUGGAAUUCUUGGAUUGCGUUACGACUAACUACUGCGAAAGCAUUUACCAAGGAUGUUUUCAUUGAUCAAGAACGAAAGUUUGGGGAUCGAAAAUGAUUAGAUACCGUCGUAGUCCAAACCAUAAACUAUGCCAACUAAAAAUCGGGCUGUGAUAUUUUACGUCUAGCUCGGGCGAUUUAUGAGAAAUCAAAGUCUUUGGGUUCCGGGGGGAGUAUGGUCGCAAGGCUGAAACUUAAAGGAAUUGACGGAAGGGCACCACCAGGAGUGGAGCCUGCGGCUUAAUUUGACUCAACACGGGAAAACUCACCAGGUCCAGACAUAGUAAGGAUUGACAGAUUGAUAGAUCUUUCUUGAUUUCAAAGGGUGGUGGUGCAAGGCCGUUCUUAGUUGGUGGAGUGAUUUGUCUGCUUAAUUGCGUUAACGAACGAGACCUUCACAUGCUAAAUAGUUGAACGAAUCUUCGGAUUUGUGUCAAUCUUCUUAGAUGGACUAUCGCCUUUUAAGGCGGUGGAAGCCGGAGGCAAUAACAGGUCUGUGAUGCCCUUAGAUGUUCUGGGCUGCACGCGCGCUACACUGGCAAUUUCAACGAGCAUUUCUAACUUGCGCGGUAGCGUCGGUUAAUCUUUUGAAAUAUUGCCGUGCUGGGGAUAGAAAAUUGUAAUUAUUUUUCUUCAACGAGGAAUUCCUAGUAAGCUCGAGUCAUCAGCUCGAACUGAUUACGUCCCUGCCCUUUGUACACACCGCCCGUCGCUCCUACCGAUUGAAUGGUUCGGUGAGCAGUUUGGAUUCUAGUCGUUGUAGGUUCGCCUACGCUGACCAGAAGAAAUUCCGCAAACCUCAUCAUUUAGAGGAAGGAGAAGUCGUAACAAGGUUUCCGUAGGUGAACCUGCAGAAGGAUC